rnacentral:rRNA from 1 species
CUACGGGGGGCUCCAGUGGGGAAUAUUGGACAAUGGGGGAAACCCUGAUCCAGCAAUGCCGCGUGUGUGAAGAAGGCCUGCGGGUUGUAAAGCACUUUCGGUUGGGAGGACUGCUUCUAGCACUAAUAUUGUUGGAAGUUGACGUUACCUUCAGAAGAAGCACCGGCUAACUCCGUGCCAGCAGCCGCGGUAAUACGGAGGGUGCACGCGUUAAUCGGAAUUACUGGGCGUAAAGCGCGCGUAGGCGGCUAGAUCAGUCGGGUGUGAAAGCCCCGGGCUUAACCGGGGAACUGCAUCCGAUACUGUCUAGCUUGAGUACAGGAGAGGAGAGUGGAAUUCCACAUGUAGCGGUGAAAUGCGUAGAUAUGUGGAGGAACACCAAUGGCGAAGGCAGCUCUCUGGCCUGAUACUGACGCUGAGGUGCGAAAGCGUGGGGAGCAAACAGGAUUAGAUACCCCCGUAGUC